UCUGUGUUGGCUGCAUCAAUCCCUCUGG
rnacentral:piRNA from 1 species